rnacentral:ncRNA from 2 species
AUUCCAUAGGAAGGAACAGGUGCAAGCCGGCGCACAUCCGGCUGCUGAAAAGAGAAGCUGGUAUAGGCCAGCGCGGUCCCGCCACUGUAAGGGGAGCGAAUCUGCAUAGUUAAGUCACUGGGGGCAUAAGCCUUUGGGAAGGCGCAGAGGAGCGAUGAACCGAGCCAGGAGAACUGCCUGUUUGACAAUCACCGU